GACGAACGCUGGCGGCGUGCUUAACACAUGCCAGUCGAACGGAAAGGCCCUGCUUUUGUGGGGUGCUCGAGUGGCGAACGGGUGAGUAACACGUGAGUAACCUGCCCUUGACUUUGGGAUAACUUCAGGGAACUGGUGCUAAUACCGGAUAGGAGCUCCUGCUGCAUGGUGGGGGUUGGAAAGUUUCGGCGGUUGGGGAUGGACUCGCGGCUUAUCAGCUUGUUGGUGGGGUAGUGGCUUACCAAGGCUUUGACGGGUAGCCGGCCUGAGAGGGUGACCGGCCACAUUGGGACUGAGAUACGGCCCAGACUCCUACGGGAGGCAGCAGUGGGGAAUAUUGCACAAUGGGCGGAAGCCUGAUGCAGCAACGCCGCGUGCGGGAUGACGGCCUUCGGGUUGUAAACCGCUUUCGCCUGUGACGAAGCGUGAGUGACGGUAAUGGGUAAAGAAGCACCGGCUAACUACGUG
rnacentral:rRNA from 1 species